AAGGGCAGGCUUAAGGGAAGGUUUGACAUCUAAGGAGGGGAGGAGCAGGGAAGGUUUUGGGGGAAAAAGGGUAGGGAAAAGAGAGAUUGACAAUUUGGCAGAGAGUGGCGAGGCAACAAACAAGAACUGAUAGUUAACCAAGCUGAAUAACAAUGAGGGAGUGAGUCUAAAUUUAGCAACAUAAAAUACAGACUGGGGAAUCUGUGCCACUCCAAAGAAGUUGAAAGGAAAUUGUUUAAAGUGCCCAUCAGCUCUGAGGAUCAAGCCCACAAAAAUGCUAUUGUUUGGAGACUGACUUGUGGAUUUAGUGUAAAAGUGGAGCUAGGCUCCUCAGUAUCUGUCUCCGGAGCUGAGCGACGUCAGACAUAACCACCAGAACAACAACAAAAAUACCCAGGAAGACUUCAGCUUGAAAUCUGCCCUGAGAGUCAGAAUUCUUGAGCUCUGUUGGACCAACACUGAAAUUAAUUCCAUAAGUGAGGUUACUUCACUGAAAAUCCCUCUCCUUGCUUCUACCAAACAGUGCUAAAAGUGGACACCCAUCUCACAGGAUCUGGGGCUACAAGCAACAUUUUUCAAGGGGACCAGGCAUAAGCUAUCAAAAACUGAAAUGGUUCAUGCCUUAAACAUCGCUUUGGAGGAGUUUUGCCCAUUAUAGCAAAAACUGUAUAAAGAAGCUACAACCAUGGAAGCCCACCCCUCCUUGAAGAUGCCUGACUAGAAGAUUGGACUAUGAGGGAAGCCACCUAGAUAAUGUAAAUUGGACUCAAUUGUUCAAUCAUCUCAGGUCUAGCGAGAAACAAACAAGGCAGAGGGAAAGGAAUGCAUCCACAAGAAAGCUAAAUGCUGAAGAGAAUCAUCCCUGGCUGGCUUUGAGGUGAGAGAGACCACAGGUCACAAGAGGUCUGGUUUGCACAGAAUCCCCCCAGCCAAGGGGGGAGGAGGAGGUUUGGGGUGUGUGGUGUGACCUCUGGUCAAAGGCACUGAACACCCAUUGCUCCUUACACAAACCAGCCCAGCUGUGAAACCCCUACUGUGGAAAGGCUUCAUCAAUGGGACAUUCAUGUGGGUGGCAGCUGAGAGGAUGUGUUAAUACAUCAAAGACCCCCCAAGUACUCCUCAGACUGAUUCCUAAGGCCUUGCACCACAGCACUGCUCAUAAGGCAAAGUGAUGUAACCGACAGAGUCUGCUGCAGGAUAGCGUCAAACUGCAGUACCGCCCCCACCCGCCCCCUCCAGGGGAGGUGCCUGCACAUUCCCAUCUGGCCUGAGCGUAUAUUAAUCCAUUCGAUUCUGUGUCUUUUUGGGGACCCUCAUCAACAAAACUAGAUGUAGAGGAUCAUUGGGCAGCCAGUGGGAUCUAUGGAGUGGUAAUAUUUUCUUUAUGUUCUCUUUCUGUCACUCUCUUUCUGUCCUCCCACCUCUUUUCUUUCCCUUUCUUCCCCCCACCCCCCCAUAUUUAUUAUUAAAUGAAGCCCAUUCUGUUGACAUUGGCAUAUGGUCUUGUUUGCACCUUAAUUUGGGAAGAGGCAUUUCAAAGAACUUUAAAAACCAGACAGAAACACAAGUUGAUUAUCAAAUUUCAUGAGAGUUAUCUGUGAUGGCUUUCUGAGAACACUGAAUUCUUGGAUUAGGAAAAGUCACCAAACAUAUCUCAUUAUAUGUUUGAAAACAGGAUUGAAAACACAUAAAGAUGCUGAUGAUAGAGUAAUUUUUUAGGUGUAUGAGCAAGAGUUUAAUGAAAAUGCCAAAUGGGAUAAGGUAAAGUUUACUUCAAUUUUUUUAGUAACGUAGUAUGGUAUUUAUUAAUAAAAUGUGGCUUUAUCAGAAAAUAGCUCUGUUAUCCUCCGUUGUAUAUGGAGGUUGAAUGAUGACUUCAAAAUAUAUAAAAAAAAUAUUUAGGACCAAGAAUGGAAUGAUGAUUCCUUUCCAAUCAUCCUGAAAUGCCAAGGUUCCUGUUUG